GACGGACGCUGGCGGCGUGCCUAAUACAUGCAAGUAGAACGCUGAAGAGAGGAGCUUGCUCUUCUUGGAUGAGUUGCGAACGGGUGAGUAACGCGUAGGCAACCUGCCUUGUAGCGGGGGAUAACUAUUGGAAACGAUAGCUAAUACCGCAUAACAAUGGAUGACACAUGUCAUUUAUUUGAAAGGGGCAAUUGCUCCACUACAAGAUGGACCUGCGUUGUAUUAGCUAGUAGGUGAGGUAACGGCUCACCUAGGCGACGAUACAUAGCCGACCUGAGAGGGCGAUCGGCCACACUGGGACUGAGACACGGCCCAGACUCCUACGGGAGGCAGCAGUAGGGAAUCUUCGGCAAUGGGGGCAACCCUGACCGAGCAACGCCGCGUGAGUGAAGAAGGUUUUCGGAUCGUAAAGCUCUGUUGUAAGUCAAGAACGAGUGUGAGAGUGGAAAGUUCACACUGUGACGGUAGCUUACCAGAAAGGGACGGCUAACUACGUGCCAGCAGCCGCGGUAAUACGUAGGUCCCGAGCGUUGUCCGGAUUUAUUGGGCGUAAAGCGAGCGCAGGCGGUUUGAUAAGUCUGAAGUUAAAGGCUGUGGCUCAACCAUAGUUCGCUUUGGAAACUGUCAAACUUGAGUGCAGAAGGGGAGAGUGGAAUUCCAUGUGUAGCGGUGAAAUGCGUAGAUAUAUGGAGGAACACCGGUGGCGAAAGCGGCUCUCUGGUCUGUAACUGACGCUGAGGCUCGAAAGCGUGGGGAGCGAACAGGAUUAGAUACCCUGGUAGUCCACGCCGUAAACGAUGAGUGCUAGGUGUUGGAUCCUUUCCGGGAUUCAGUGCCGCAGCUAACGCAUUAAGCACUCCGCCUGGGGAGUACGACCGCAAGGUUGAAACUCAAAGGAAUUGACGGGGGCCCGCACAAGCGGUGGAGCAUGUGGUUUAAUUCGAAGCAACGCGAAGAACCUUACCAGGUCUUGACAUCCCGAUGCUAUUUCUAGAGAUAGAAAGUUACUUCGGUACAUCGGUGACAGGUGGUGCAUGGUUGUCGUCAGCUCGUGUCGUGAGAUGUUGGGUUAAGUCCCGCAACGAGCGCAACCCCUAUUGUUAGUUGCCAUCAUUCAGUUGGGCACUCUAGCGAGACUGCCGGUAAUAAACCGGAGGAAGGUGGGGAUGACGUCAAAUCAUCAUGCCCCUUAUGACCUGGGCUACACACGUGCUACAAUGGUUGGUACAACGAGUUGCGAGUCGGUGACGGCAAGCUAAUCUCUUAAAGCCAAUCUCAGUUCGGAUUGUAGGCUGCAACUCGCCUACAUGAAGUCGGAAUCGCUAGUAAUCGCGGAUCAGCACGCCGCGGUGAAUACGUUCCCGGGCCU
rnacentral:rRNA from 1 species